GCGUCGAGCGAGGUGAAGGCCAAUCCGCACGCUUCGGAAGCGUGCUCCGAUGCGUCGCGGAACCUC
rnacentral:sRNA from 1 species